AACCCAUAGUGAGGGCAUCUUCACAAAAGGUCAUUGCAUCUCUCCCAUGCAUCGUAGAGUGUUUCUAAAUCCAUCUGCAAAAAAGAGGAGAUAUCAUUAUAUAAUUUGGCU
rfam:Gossypium hirsutum cultivar TM-1 chromosome 16, whole genome shotgun sequence